rnacentral:rRNA from 1 species
AGCAGCCGCGGUAAUUCCAGCUCCAAUAGCGUAUAUUAAAGUUGUUGCAGUUAGAAAGCUGUAGUUGAAUUUCGGGGUUAGUAGGUUGGUCAUGCCUCUGGUAUGUACUGGUCUCACUGAUUCCUCCUUCCUGAUGAACCUUAAUGCCAUUAAUUUGGUGUUUUGGGGAAUUUGGACUGUUACUUUGAAAAAAUUAGAGUGUUUAAAGCAAGCUAACGCUUGAAUACAUUAGCAUGGAAUAAUGAAAUAGGACGUUCGAUCCUAUUUUGUUGGUUUCUAGGAUUGACGUAAUGAUUAAUAGGGAUAGUUGGGGGCAUUAGUAUUCAAUUGUCAGAGGUGAAAUUCUUGGAUUUAUUGAAGACUGACUACUGCGAAAGCAUUUGCCAAGGAUGUUUUCAUUAAUCAAGAACGAAAGUUAGGGGAUCGAAGACGAUCAGAUACCGUCGUAGUCUUAACCAUAAACUAUGCCGACUAGGGAUCGGAUGAUGUUAAUUUUUUAAUGACUCAUUCGGCGCCUUACG